AUGUCCUACGGGGGGCAGCAGUGGGGAAUAUUGCACAAUGGGGGAAAGCCUGAUGGAGCAACGCCGCGUGGGUGAAGAAGGUCUUCGGAUCGUAAAACCCUGUUGUUAGAGAAGAAAGUGCGUGAGAGUAACUGUUCACGUUUCGACGGUAUCUAACCAGAAAGCCACGGCUAACUACGUGCCAGCAGCCGCGGCAAUACGUAGGUGGCGAGCGUUAUCCGGAAUGAUUGGGCGUAAAGGGUGCGUAGGCGGCCUGCUAAGUCUUGAGUGAAAGGUACCGGCUCAACCGGUACAGGCUCUGGAAA
rnacentral:rRNA from 1 species